AAAUGAAUACACAGAUUUAUUAUUUGUAUACUAAUUCCUACACUGACACAUUAGACUGUAUGUUUUUUAUUUAAAAUGUUUGUUUAAACCAUUAAUUUAAUAGCCGCGAUGCUUACGAGUCUAAUGCACUUUGUGGGACGAAAUGGAGACCACAAACACAAGAAAAUCCAGUAUGACUUCUCUAAAAAUCUCAAAAGGUUCACAGAGCAGCACUAUCAGUUAAUAAAGAAAUGUGGCUCUGUAGUGGACACCUGUGAGGCAGUGGACAGACAGCUGCUGAUGUCUGAUGCUGGCUGACAAUAAACAGACCUCUCUGGACGUACCCCAUCUUUUGCAGAGAAAUUAUAACAUUGCCCUUCCUGUAACAUGACGAUCCUGCUGUCCUGGACUGUAUAUGAUGAUAAGUAUGAGUUUGUCCAUGUGUGUAGACAUAUGUAGUGUACACACACACAUUAUACACACAUUGUGCACUUAAUUAGUCCAUAACCAUUAAUCAAUAGACUAAUAUGACAAAAAUAAUUCCUGUGGUGUUCCUCAUUUUUAAGAUAAUAAAAAAAAUACCUGUGCUAAAUGAAUAAAUGUAAUAUUUUAUUAUUUAAUUUUAUGUAAAUC